AGGCCAGUGAGGAAGAGGCUGUGGAGAUAUUCUGUAAAUAUGAUCGGUACAACUCGCCACUGAUGGAUUUAACCUCAAAAUCUCUUUUAAUCCGGAAUCUGUUUUCUUUCUCUUGAACUCAGUGAUUUGUAGUCCAGCUGUAAACUAAACUAAGGCUGCCGUUUCCUCUCUGUCUCCAUGGAGACUGACAUCAUCACGGUUUUACUACAAAUCUAAAGUUUUGUACAGAAUUCAGCUUCACGUAGAUGUUGAUCUGCGCUAAAACACGUUACAGAAAAGUGCUGAAACUGCAGCGAGCGGCUCAGAUCCAAUUAUGGCGUUGUGUGCCUGCCGACAUCGGAGAUUACAGCUCUGAAAACCGAAGAUUUUUCGUCGAAAGAGAAUAACGUCACUGCGAGUGGAGUGAGGAGUUCUACACGGGAUGCAGUGCUGGAGUAAGGGGUAAAUGAAAACUGGACAACAACUUUUGGUCAAUGGCACGACUGCACCUGGUUUGUAAGUAUCUCUUAACCAAAUUAGAACCAAAACAAUCUAGUACCUCUUCAACAUCCCUGGGUCCUUCCCAGAACUCAGAACAGCAAACAUACAGGGGUGUCGUGAUAUGCAUGUUGAUAUUAAUUUUUUUCUGUUUGAAGGUCAUGAGACGAUGCACCUUGUGUAUUGAAUAGAUUUAGAUCUCAUGUUUGAAUUACCAAAAAUAAUAUUAACCCUGUCAAAAGGCAUUUUCUCUAUUUUUUAAAACCUUCUUAUAAUGGCCUUUAAAGGCACUUAAUAGAACAUAUACAUGAUAUAAUAUCGUGUAACAUGAUACUCAUACAUUUCAUAUCAAAAUGCUUUUAUCUUCGUCACUGCUUUCCAAAGCCGCAGCAACAACUUCAGCGACUGUAAACUCUUUGCCUGCCAUUUCACGUGUCUCAGAUGUCGACUGAAUGAAGAAUGAGGAGUUUUUGGUGUGAUGGGCGAGUCCUUAGUGAUUUCAAGAGUGUCUAUUGGUCAGUUUCACACAAAAUGUAGACAGACACACAAAUCCACCAGUUACACAUGGUCAGAGGAAGAUGACGUGUAUCUCAACCCCUCUUCAUAGCUUCAUAACUCCAGAUGUGAGUCACUUACGAUCGCAAGAUAAGAUGGAAGAGAAAGGUCAGACUCAUUCAGAAAACGUGUAAAUGGUGUUUCUGUGCUGUAUUAUUGCAAAAAUUGAGAAACAUAUAUAGAAACAUCAAAUUUUAUGCAUGGGUGAGUUUCUGGUCCCCGAGGCUUCAAUAAUAGAAAUAAUAAUUAAUAAAUAAACAUAAAAGUAACAUUAGCAUUUUUUACUAAAUUUGUAUCAAAAACAUAUCGUAUCAUAAAAAACAGCAGUAUGCAUUGUAUCAUGAAAUUUGCACACUGUUGCAAACCUUCAAACAUUUUGAGCUGCAUCCAUCUCUAUUCUUAAAAAUAAAAACUGUCCAAAAUAUAUAGACAUGUCAGUGUAUGAUUAAAUUUUAAUAUAAAGUGCAGAACUCCCUGUCCCUGA